GACGAACGCUGGCGGCGUGCCUAAUACAUGCAAGCAGAACGCAGUUGCGAACGGGUGAGUAACGCGUAGGUAACUGCCUCAUAGCGGGGGAUAACUAUUGGAAACGAUAGCUAAUACCGCAUACUUUGAGAUGGACCUGCGUUGUAUUAGCUAGUUGGUGAGGUAAAGGCUCACCAAGGCUAUGAUACAUAGCCGACCCGAGAGGGUGAUCGGCCACACUGGGACUGAGACACGGAACAGAGUCAUACGGGAGGCAGCAGUAGGGAAUCUUAGGAAAUGGACGGGAGGCUGACCAAGCAAGGCGGAGUGAGAGAAGAAGGUUGUCGGAUCGUAGAGCUCUGUUGUUAAAGAAGCGGGAACUAACCGGAAAGGGAAGGCAAACUACGUACCAGCAGCCGCGGUAAUUC
rnacentral:rRNA from 1 species